rnacentral:tRNA from 1 species
GGCCGUGGCUCAGCGGUAGAGCGCACGCCUUGCAUGUGGAAGGCACUGGGUUUGAUCCUCAGCACCA